ACGCUGGCGGCGUGCUUAACACAUGCAAGUGAACGAAGCUUGAUGAAUGAUCCUUCGGGAUGAUUUCAGAUAUGACUUAGUGGCGGACGGGUGAGUAACGCGUGAGGAACCUGCCUUUUCAGAAGGGGGACAACAUUUGGAAACGAAUGCUAAUACCGCAUAACAUUACCGAGUGGCAUCGCUUGGUAAUCAAAGAUUUAUCGCUGAAAGAUGGCCUCGCGUCCAAUUAGUUAGUUGGCGGGGUAACGGCCCACCAAGACGACGAUUGGUAGCCGGACUGAGAGGUUGAUCGGCCACAUUGGGACUGAGACACGGCCCAGACUCCUACGGGAGGCAGCAGUGGGGAAUAUUGCACAAUGGGCGCAAGCCUGAUGCAGCAACGCCGCGUGGAGGAAGACGGUUUUCGGAUUGUAAACUCCUGUUCUUAGUGACGAAGAAGUGACGGUAGCUAAGGAAGCAAGCCACGGCUAACUACGUGCCAGCAGCGGC
rnacentral:rRNA from 1 species